rnacentral:rRNA from 1 species
CCUACGGGUGGCAGCAGUGGGGAAUAUUGCACAAUGGGGGGAACCCUGAUGCAGCUACGCCGCGUGGAUGAAGAAGCGUUUCGGCGCGUAAAGCCCUAUCGGCAGGGAAGAAGAAGGACGGUCCCUGACUCAGAAGCCCCGGCUAACUACGUGCAGGCAGCCGCGGUAAUACGUAGGGGUCAGGCGGUAUCCGGAUUUACUGUGUGGAAAGGGGGCGCAGACGGCAGCGCAAGCCAGGAGUGAAAGCCCGGGGCCCAACCCCGGGACUGCGAUUGGAACUGCGAGGCUGGAGUGCAGGAGGGGCAGGCGGAAUGUAGGGUGUAGCGGGGAAAUGCUUAGAGAUCAUACAGAACACCGAGUGCGAAGGCAGCUUACCAAUUUAUAGCUGACGUUGAGGCACGAAAGCGUGGGGAGCAAGCAGGAUUAGAUACCCUAGUAGUC